rnacentral:lncRNA from 1 species
AUGAGUAGAGCUUUCUCCCUGGGAAGAGUGCCACGGUCCUAUGGCUGGUUAACAGACAACAACAUUCAACAAAACUUGGCAGUGAAAUUAUUUGCAGAAGCUAUCAUAAGAGUGCUUUUCUUUGUCUCAGAUUGUUUUGUAAGACCUUGGAGUUUAAUAACAGAGACCCAGAUGCCUAAUCCGUCCAGCUCGGUCUUGUGCCUGACUCACUGGAUGGCCUUCGUGAAAUCAUUCUCCAUCGACACAGGACAAAGGGACAUUUUGAGGGGUCAUCUGGUCCUCCUGUUGCUUCCAUUUUCACAACUUAUUCGGACAACAGUUACUGAGCAGCUGGAUCCCACGUGCACAGGCUUCCUCCAGCACUAGGAACACGGAGGUGAUCGGGCUGUGGCCUUGGUCUCAGGGCUGACAGUCGGGGAGACAGACAGGCAGUUACCCUUCAGUGUGCUGGGGACUGUGGGGUCCUUUGGAGGGGGAGUGCUUCCCAGAGGGGUCUGGGAACUAAGUCUUGAAAGAUGAAGGGGAUUUGGCACAACGAGGCGUGGUCGGGAAGGUGGAGAAGGUGCUCAAGAUAGAGAGGACCGAGGCCAAGGCUUGGAGGGCACAGGGUCCUUGCUGUCUUGGGGGCGGUAGAAAAUAAUUCAGUAUGAAGUACAGGGUGUAGGGAGGGGGUAGGGAGAGAUAAGGGGUGCUGGAUAUAUGAAGAGAGCUCAGCCUCACACGUGUGCUGAGGAAGUUAAAACCUCUUACACGAGCCUGAGAUUUUUGGAGAAGAGGUCAAACUGGAGACUCAGUGACACUGGCCAGAGGUUGAACCAGGGCACUGGUCACCAGGAGAGUCAGGCAGCAAUGUUUGAGGAGGUGGACAGCCCAGUGGAGAGCGGCUGGGGUGAGGAGUGGUGGGAGGGCGGACCUGGGUCCCCCCAACGAGGACGGCCAAGCCAUGGACCUGGGGGGGGAGGGAGCGCAGUCUUUGAUGACAAAGGCCGCCUCGAGCUCUUGCUAGCCCCGUGGCCCCGGGAAAGUUACUGAACUCUCUGUGCCUCAGACCCUUCAUCUAAAAGCGAGCAUGAUGAGGGGCACCUGGGUGGCUCAGUCGGUUAAGCGUCCGACUUCGCUCAGGUCAUGAUCUCACGGUCCGUGGGUUCGAGCCCCGCGUCGGGCUCUGGGCUGACGGCUCGGAGCCUGGAGCCUGUUUCGGAUUCUGUGUCUCCCUCUUUCUCUGACCCUCCCCUAUUCACGCUCUCUCUCUGUCUCAAAAAUAAAUAAAUGUUAAAAAAAAUUUAAAAAAAUAAA